AACAAAAAAAACAAGAGCUCUGG
rnacentral:piRNA from 1 species